ACGGUAACGCGGGGCAACCUGGCGACGAGUGGCGAACGGGUGAGUAAUACAUCGGAACGUGCCCAGUAAUGGGGGAUAGCCCGGCGAAAGCCGGAUUAAUACCGCAUACGACCUACGGGUGAAAGAGGGGGAUCGCAAGACCUCUCGUUAUUGGAGCGGCCGAUGGCAGAUUAGCUAGUUGGUGGGGUAAAAGCCUACCAAGGCGACGAUCUGUAGCUGGUCUGAGAGGACGACCAGCCACACUGGGACUGAGACACGGCCCAGACUCCUACGGGAGGCAGCAGUGGGGAAUUUUGGACAAUGGACGCAAGUCUGAUCCAGCAAUGCCGCGUGCGGGAAGAAGGCCUUCGGGUUGUAAACCGCUUUUGUCAGGGAAGAAAUCUUCUGGGUUAAUACCUCGGGAGGAUGACGGUACCUGAAGAAUAAGCACCGGCUAACUACGUGCCAGCAGCCGCGGUAAU
rnacentral:rRNA from 1 species